rnacentral:rRNA from 1 species
UACGUAGGGUGCAAGCGUUAUCCGGAAUUAUUGGGCGUAAAGAGCUCGUAGGCGGUUUGUCGCGUCUGCUGUGAAAACUGGAGGCUCAACCUCCAGCCUGCAGUGGGUACGGGCAGACUAGAGUGCGGUAGGGGAGAUUGGAAUUCCUGGUGUAGCAGUGAAAUGCGUAGAUAUCAGGAGGAACACCGAUGGCGAAGGCAGGCCUCUGGGCUGACACUGACGCUCAUGCACGAAAGCGUGGGGAGCAAACAGG